CCUACGGGCGGCAGCAGUGAGGAAUAUUGGUCAAUGGCCGCGAGGCUGAACCAGCCAAGUCGCGUGAGGGAAGAAUGUCCUAUGGAUUGUAAACCUCUUUUGUCAGGGAGCAAAGUCACCCACGUGUGGGUGUUGGAGAGUACCUGAAGAAAAAGCAUCGGCUAACUCCGUGCCAGCAGCCGCGGUAAUACGGAGGAUGCGAGCGUUAUCCGGAUUUAUUGGGUUUAAAGGGUGCGUAGGCGGGUUAUCAAGGCAGCGGUAAAAUUUGGGAGCUCAACCCCAUCCAGCCGUUGAAACCGGUUGACUUGAGGGGACGAGAAGUAUGCGGAAUGCGUGGUGUAGCGGUGAAAUGCAUAGAUAUCACGCAGAACUCCGAUUGCGAAGGCAGCAUACCGGCGCCCGACUGACGCUGAAGCACGAAAGCGUGGGUAUCGAACAGGAUUAGAUACCCUAGUAGUC
rnacentral:rRNA from 1 species